rnacentral:rRNA from 1 species
GUGGGGAAUAUUGGGCAAUGGGGGAAACCCUGACCCAGCAACGCCGCGUGAAGGAAGAAGGCCUUCGGGUUGUAAACUUCUUUUAGCAGGGACGAAGGACGUGACGGUACCUGCAGAAAAAGCAACGGCUAACUACGUGCCAGCAGCCGCGGUAAUACGUAGGUUGCGAGCGUUGUCCGGAAUUACUGGGUGUAAAGGGCGUGUAGGCGGAGCUGCAAGUCAGAUGUGAAAUGUCAUGGCUCAACCAUGGAACUGCAUUUGAAACUGUGGCCCUUGAGUAUCGGAGAGGCAAGCGGAAUUCCUAGUGUAGCGGUGAAAUGCGUAGAUAUUAGGAGGAACACCAGUGGCGAAGGCGGCUUGCUGGACGACAACUGACGCUGAGGCGCGAAAGCGUGGGGAGCAAACAGGAUUAGAAACCCUAGUAGUCC